GUUCGGGUUAAGUCCCGCAACGAGCGCAACCCUGCAUUUAGUGCCAUCGGUACGGCCGGGCACUCUAGAUGGACUGCCGGCGACAAGCCGGAGGAAGGUCGGGGAUGACGUCAAGUCAUCAUGGCCCUUAUGUCCAGGGCGACACACGUGCUACAAUGGCCGGCACAGCGGGAAGCGAAUGGGCGACCAUGAGCGGAUCCCCAUAAAAGCCGGUCCCAGUUCGGAUUGCAGUCUGCAACUCGACUGCAUGAAGUUGGAAUCGCUAGUAAUCGUGGAUCAGCAUGCCACGGUGAAUACGUUCCCGGGCCUU
rnacentral:rRNA from 1 species